rnacentral:lncRNA from 1 species
UAUUUCUUUUAUAUUCUCCAUCAAUAAAAGUCAUAGCAGUAAUAAGAGAGGUAUGCAGCUGUGAACAGAAGGGGCAUUUACCCAUCCUGCAGGAAGUGGAAGUCAGCUGAAUACCAGUCAGAGCAGAGAUCUAUACAAAACUUCCUUUUCUUUAAGCUGUCAACAUUUUGAAAGGAGGAAAAUGAAAAUAAUGUUGGAAACAAGCUAGCAAGUACCCAAACUGAAUAAAAACAGUCUGGAAGAAUCUUAAGAGUGGAACUUCUGUGUACAUCAGGGUUGCUGGAGGGGCAUCUUCACUCCUGAAUUCUUCUCUGAUUGAAACUGAGGACCGGUGUGUGAAUUAUCUCAGAAUAACAGAUGCCACCCAUCUAGCCGAUCAGUGCAUCCUGUAGCGCCGAGACCGCCUUUCACCAGCUGGGGGGGUGCCAGGAGCCAAAAUCUGGAACCUGAUUGCGGU